rnacentral:rRNA from 1 species
AUUGAACGCUGGCGGCAUGCCUUACACAUGCAAGUCGAACGGUAACGGGCCUUCGGGUGCCGACGAGUGGCGAACGGGUGCGUAAUACAUCGGAACGUGCCCGAUCGUGGGGGAUAACGAGGCGAAAGCUUUGCUAAUACCGCAUACGAUCUACGGAUGAAAGCAGGGGACCGCAAGGCCUUGCGCGGACGGAGCGGCCGAUGGCAGAUUAGGUAGUUGGUGGGAUAAAAGCUUACCAAGCCGACGAUCUGUAGCUGGCCUGAGAGGAUGAUCAGCCACACUGGGACUGAGACACGGCCCAGACUCCUACGGGAGGCAGCAGUGGGGAAUUUUGGACAAUGGGCGCAAGCCUGAUCCAGCCAUGCCGCGUGCAGGAUGAAGGCCUUCGGGUUGUAAACUGCUUUUGUACGGAACGAAAAGCCUUCUUUUAAUACAGGAGGGUCAUGACGGUACCGGAAGAAUAAGCACCGGCUAACUACGUG